GAUUAAGGGCUUGAAAGAGGAAUGUUGACUCCUUUUUACCCUUCCAUCUUUUGCCUUGUAGGCUGCAGCAAGAAGGUCCUCACCAGACGUCAGUGACUAGCUCUUGGACUGCCCAGCCUCCCGAACAGUGAGAGAGUAAAUUUCUGUUCUUUAUAAAUUCCCAGUCUGUGGUAUUUUGUUGUAGCAACACAAAUGGACUAAGUUCCUCAUACCCUGAGUUAUUUCUUACUGUGCUUGGAGAUCGGUCCUGGCUGCCGCUGGCCUGUUAUUUGGCAGCCCAUGCACUUUUCCAUCACAAAACCGGAGUGGAUUCCUGUCCGUUUCAACAACUUGUGAUGACACUGGAUAUUAUCAUGCCAGCUCUGCUUGUGAGUCUGUCUGAAAAUGAGCCAACUUUCGAACCCUGUGCGGUAAGGAAUGGUUCUUUCUUCAUGCCAGAGCAUUAAAGUGAAAACCUAACAAAGAGCUAAAAUAAAAGUUUGUAGCUUCAGAAGAAGUCAUAUUAAUUUUGGAAAAAAGGUAUGCACUUAAAAAUCACAGCAGUCACAUUCUUCUUUGAAAAAGUCAUUUUUUAAUUUAACAUAUAAGACAGGAUGCUCAUUUACCUUGACGUAAAAUACACAGCUGAUGCACCAGAUAAGAUAGAAUUAUACAAAAAUACCAACGCUAUGACCUUAAAUCAGUGUACAGGAUAUGCCAUACAUAGGACAUUCAAUGCGAUUUUUUACUCGCUCAGCUAUUUCUAAUUAUAUCAGAUUAAAUGACUGUUACCUGAUUUCUUUAAAAAAUGGGUUUAAAGAAAGCAUAUAAUAAAUUACUAAAGUCAACAAAGGUUAUACUUCUUUGUUCUUGAAUGCAAUCAAAAUAUUUUCUUCUAAUGAGUUUAUCCAAUAAAAGUCUUGUAGAAAUGCACAUUCCCUUAAGUUAUUCAUUUUAGUGAGUUUAUUCCAAGGCAAAUAACAAAUGAGCAUUGAAAUGUAACUUUAUGUUAGAUCAGGCAGAACAGUUUAUUGGAGUGAUGGGUGUUUCAGGGCAGUAGUUCUUGUAUGAAGUAUUUUUCUUGCUAACAAAAUGAAUACAAUUCUUUACACUGUCCAUUAACAAUUUUACAGUCUCACAGUAGUAAUACACAGUUUACCAUUCUCCUUACAGGCCAAUGUUUCCUAAUAAGGAAUGCAGAGCAUCUCUUGCAUCUUGAGUAACAGCAGGUGGUAUCAGAAAUAAAACAGUGAAUGUUGAGUUCUCCUAUGUAAAAUGGCUCUAGAGUGAAGAAGGUCUGAGAUGGAGGUGCAUUAAGUGAUUGGACCCAAAGUGUGUUAAAUUCCAGGAAAUUAGCCUUCAUUAAUCUACAGAUAAGAAUGUACUUUUGCUCUUAUUUAAUCAAUAAUUUACUUAUUCAAAAUACAUUUGUUAGUAUUGUGGGCAGGGUAUACUGGGUCUGAGUGCACUCAAAAUGAUGUGAGGAGUAAGGAUGUAGUCAUAAAAGAGAAAUAGAUUCAUUAUCUCCCACUCCCUCAUCCCUAGUUUUUCCCUGUCUCUCAAAGUGCAAAACGCUGCAGCAGCAUGACAGAAAGAUUGUCACUUGGCAUGAGACCUAAGUGUUGUGGCCUCCUUCUGCUCAGCUACUCUGUGGAGGAAAGGGACAAUUAUGUUGGCUCACUGCUUCCCACUAAUCUCUCUCCACCUCUUAAAAAACAACAGUGAGGACAAAUAAUGCAAUGGAGGGAUUUUUCAAGAGCACAACUGGCUUUCACUGUGGUGUCAUUUGGAAGAUUUAUUUUCACCAAAAAUUUGUCCCCAAUCUAAAGGCAUAGAUCAAACUGAAAUAAAACCAUUAAACAUUGGAUCUCAGUCGAUUGCAAAAGAGUUCCUACAAUUCCAUGCUUUGUCUUUUUUCAUAAAGAUAUGACCUGAAAUAUGUAAAAGCCAAAUGUAAUCGUAGUUAUGAAUGUCUCUUGUCCCUAGUUUAUUGCCAAGAUUUCCAUGGUGUGUCAGAUAAUUAAAGGAUCUCUGAGUGUCUGCUCCCCAACAAAGACAACAUGCCACCACCUGAGGCCCUGCUAUGGGCACAAGGCAGAGAAUGGCCUUGCUGAGGAAGCCCCAGAUCAAAACAAAACGUCCCCAGUGUGCAGCUGAGAAGAGAAACCAACCGGAAGGCAGAAGGAAGAGAGAUCCUGCAAAAUGUCUCUAGCUCCUACUGCCAAGUCUUAUGGCACUGAAAUUCUGCAGCCUGUGGGAGGAGGAAAAUGCUAGGAAGUCUUGUAUAAAGUUUUAAAUUCAGUAGCUACUGGGGAAAGCUUUUGCUAUAAGUAAAGUAGAGAAAGGAAAAAACUGAUCUCAAAGCAAGGAGUCCAAAGUUAGGAGUCAUGAGUCGUCCUUGCAUAUAUAUUGGUAUGGUAAAAGUUCAACAAGAAGCAUUCCUGGGUGCCUGAUGUAAGGUGUGGAUCUUGGGGCAUAAGAACAGUAGUGGAUUCAAGGUUUAAGCUUAGGCCCUUUAUAAUGGGAAAAGAAUCCAUUCCCAUUAAUUAGGAACUGGACUUCCCAGGUGCCAGAUGUUGUAGGGGACAACAGGGCUGGGGCUUAAGAGACUCCAGAUGCUACUUCACAUUUUCCUUAAGGUUAAUGAUUAAAGGCUGUUACUUGAAUUUCUAAAUUUAAGAUUAGAUUUUAACGUGAGGAUCAAAGGUGCUGAUUUGUUUAUCAGAUUACAAUGUUACAGUUUAACCCUAUUUUUCUUAUUCUACCUAAGAUUGUUGUACAACAGUGCUUCCGUUUAGAAACAGCAGUAUCUAGCCUUUUGUAAUGUGCCUUGGGUUUCCUUUCACUGCAGUUAACAGAAUUAACACCUGGUGGUGGUUUCAGAAUUUCUGGGUGAGAGUGGUUGAGAAUUAGCAGUCUGAUUGGAAGCCCGGAGGACCCACCUUAAAGCUGUUUGCAUUUAAAAGCCUGCUGUUUAUAAUUAAACUGUACAUACUGGUUAUAAAAUACAGCACCCACUUGAGGACUUUUAAGGCCCUACUUUUCAUUUUUGAGAUGAUUUCCAUGGGUGAGGUUGGCGAUCACAGGGUGUUUGGAGGGCCAUUGAAGCACUAAAUCCUGCUAGCUUCCCAGGCACAGUUGCUGACAGUGUCCCGUAACAGUUUGUAAAUGUCUUAAAGAUGCUCCAGCUUGGAAGUAUGGUCUGCUCUGUCCCUCCUCCAUUAUACUAUGUGAACCCUGUAUCGCACCGCUGCAGAAGCAAACGCUGAAAUCCUGUAGAAAUGAUUGAGUUACUGAGGCUGGUACUCUGAGCAAAUGCUUUAACAGAUUUUUCUCCAGUAGUCUUGAAAGUCUCCCCUGGGGGAGAAAACUGGCAAAGGGGGCCUGAGAGAUGUUGGA
rnacentral:lncRNA from 1 species